UACGGAGGGGGCUAGCGUUGUUCGGAAUUACUGGGCGUAAAGCGCACGUAGGCGGCUUUGUAAGUUAGAGGUGAAAGCCCGGGGCUCAACUCCGGAAUUGCCUUUAAGACUGCAUCGCUAGAAUUGUGGAGAGGUAAGUGGAAUUCCGAGUGUAGAGGUGAAAUUCGUAGAUAUUCGGAAGAACACCAGUGGCGAAGGCGACUUACUGGCCCGAUAACUGACGCUG
rnacentral:rRNA from 1 species